rnacentral:rRNA from 1 species
GACGUAGGGGGCGAGCGUUGUCCGGAUUUAUUGGGCGUAAAGAGCGUGUAGGCGGCCUUACAGGUCAGCUGUGAAACUCGAGGCUCAACCUCGAGACGUCGGUUGAAACCGUAAGGCUAGAGUCCGGAAGAGGAGAGUGGAAUUCCCGGUGUAGCGGUGAAAUGCGCAGAUAUCGGGAAGAACACCCGUGGCGAAGGCGGCUCUCUGGGACGGUACUGACGCUGAGACGCGAAAGCGUGGGGAGCGAACGAGG